rnacentral:rRNA from 1 species
GGCUCAGAUUGAACGCUGGCGGCAGGCCUAACACAUGCAAGUCGAACGGUAACAGGAAUCAGCUUGCUGAUUCGCUGACGAGUGGCGGACGGGUGAGUAAUGUCUGGGAAACUGCCUGAUGGAGGGGGAUAACUACUGGAAACGGUAGCUAAUACCGCAUAAUGUCGCAAGACCAAAGAGGGGGACCUUCGGGCCUCUUGCCAUCGGAUGUGCCCAGAUGGGAUUAGCUUGUUGGUGGGGUAACGGCUCACCAAGGCGACGAUCCCUAGCUGGUCUGAGAGGAUGACCAGCCACACUGGAACUGAGACACGGUCCAGACUCCUACGGGAGGCAGCAGUGGGGAAUAUUGCACAAUGGGCGCAAGCCUGAUGCAGCCAUGCCGCGUGUAUGAAGAAGGCCUUCGGGUUGUAAAGUACUUUCAGCGGGGAGGAAGGGAGUAAAGUUAAUACCUUUGCUCAUUGACGUUAUCCGCAGAAGAAGCACCGGCUAACUCCGUGCCAGCAGCCGCGGUAAUACGGAGGGUGCAAGCGUUAAUCGGAAUUACUGGGCGUAAAGCGCACGCAGGCGGUUUGUUAAGUCAGAUGUGAAAUCCCCGGGCUCAACCUGGGAACUGCAUCUGAUACUGGCAAGCUUGAGUCUCGUAGAGGGGGGUAGAAUUCCAGGUGUAGCGGUGAAAUGCGUAGAGAUCUGGAGGAAUACCGGUGGCGAAGGCGGCCCCCUGGACGAAGACUGACGCUCAGGUGCGAAAGCGUGGGGAGCAAACAGGAUUAGAUACCCUGGUAGUCCACGCCGUAAACGAUGUCGACUUGGAGGUUGUGCCCUUGAGGCGUGGCUUCCGGAGCUAACGCGUUAAGUCGACCGCCUGGGGAGUACGGCCGCAAGGUUAAAACUCAAAUGAAUUGACGGGGGCCCGCACAAGCGGUGGAGCAUGUGGUUUAAUUCGAUGCAACGCGAAGAACCUUACCUGGUCUUGACAUCCACGGAAGUUUUCAGAGAUGAGAAUGUGCCUUCGGGAACCGUGAGACAGGUGCUGCAUGGCUGUCGUCAGCUCGUGUUGUGAAAUGUUGGGUUAAGUCCCGCAACGAGCGCAACCCUUAUCCUUUGUUGCCAGCGGUCCGGCCGGGAACUCAAAGGAGACUGCCAGUGAUAAACUGGAGGAAGGUGGGGACGACGUCAAGUCAUCAUGGCCCUUACGACCAGGGCUACACACGUGCUACAAUGGCGCAUACAAAGAGAAGCGACCUCGCGAGAGCAAGCGGACCUCAUAAAGUGCGUCGUAGUCCGGAUUGGAGUCUGCAACUCGACUCCAUGAAGUCGGAAUCGCUAGUAAUCGUGGAUCAGAAUGCCACGGUGAAUACGUUCCCGGGCCUUGUACACACCGCCCGUCACACCAUGGGAGUGGGUUGCAAAAGAAGUAGGUAGCUUAACCUUUGGGAGGGCGCUUACCACUUUGUGAUUCAUGACUGGGGUGAAGUCGUAACAAGGUAACCGUAGGGGAACCUGCGGUU